rnacentral:rRNA from 1 species
GUCAGUGUCGAUAACGUUGAGGGUAUACCCGUUCCCAUGCCGAACACGGAAGUUAAGUUCAAUGGUGCCGAAAAUACUUGGUUGGUAACAGCCUGGAAAGAUAGGAAAACGCUGACU